UAAGUAAGCUUUGAUCCAGAGAUUUCCGAAUGGGGAAACCCAGCAUGAGUUAUGUCAUGUUAUCGAUAUGUGAAUACAUAGCAUAUCAGAAGGCACACCCGGAGAACUGAAACAUCUUAGUACCCGGAGGAAGAGAAAGAAAAUUCGAUUCCCUUAGUAGCGGCGAGCGAAACGGGAAGAGCCCAAACCAACAAGCUUGCUUGUUGGGGUUGUAGGACACUCUAUACGGAGUUACAAAGGACGACAUUAGACGAAUCAUCUGGAAAGAUGAAUCAAAGAAGGUAAUAAUCCUGUAGUCGAAAAUGUUGUCUCUCUUGAGUGGAUCCUGAGUACGACGGAGCACGUGAAAUUCCGUCGGAAUCUGGGAGGACCAUCUCCUAAGGCUAAAUACUCUCUAGUGACCGAUAGUGAACCAGUACCGUGAGGGAAAGGUGAAAAGCACCCCGGAAGGGGAGUGAAAUAGAACCUGAAACCGUGUGCUUACAAGUAGUCAGAGCCCGUUAAUGGGUGAUGGCGUGCCUUUUGUAGAAUGAACCGGCGAGUUACGAUUUGAUGCAAGGUUAAGCAGUAAAUGUGGAGCCGUAGCGAAAGCGAGUCUGAAUAGGGCGUUUAGUAUUUGGUCGUAGACCCGAAACCAGGUGAUCUACCCUUGGUCAGGUUGAAGUUCAGGUAACACUGAAUGGAGGACCGAACCGACUUACGUUGAAAAGUGAGCGGAUGAACUGAGGGUAGCGGAGAAAUUCCAAUCGAACCUGGAGAUAGCUGGUUCUCUCCGAAAUAGCUUUAGGGCUAGCCUCAAGUGAUGAUUAUUGGAGGUAGAGCACUGUUUGGACGAGGGGCCCCUCUCGGGUUACCGAAUUCAGACAAACUCCGAAUGCCAAUUAAUUUAACUUGGGAGUCAGAACAUGGGUGAUAAGGUCCGUGUUCGAAAGGGAAACAGCCCAGACCACCAGCUAAGGUCCCAAAAUAUAUGUUAAGUGGAAAAGGAUGUGGCGUUGCCCAGACAACUAGGAUGUUGGCUUAGAAGCAGCCAUCAUUUAAAGAGUGCGUAAUAGCUCACUAGUCGAGUGACACUGCGCCGAAAAUGUACCGGGGCUAAACAUAUUACCGAAGCUGUGGAUUGUCCUUUGGACAAUGGUAGGAGAGCGUUCUAAGGGCGUUGAAGCAUGAUCGUAAGGACAUGUGGAGCGCUUAGAAGUGAGAAUGCCGGUGUGAGUAGCGAAAGACGGGUGAGAAUCCCGUCCACCGAUUGACUAAGGUUUCCAGAGGAAGGCUCGUCCGCUCUGGGUUAGUCGGGUCCUAAGCUGAGGCCGACAGGCGUAGGCGAUGGAUAACAGGUUGAUAUUCCUGUACCACCUAUAAUCGUUUUAAUCGAUGGGGGGACGCAGUAGGAUAGGCGAAGCGUGCGAUUGGAUUGCACGUCUAAGCAGUAAGGCUGAGUAUUAGGCAAAUCCGGUACUCGUUAAGGCUGAGCUGUGAUGGGGAGAAGACAUUGUGUCUUCGAGUCGUUGAUUUCACACUGCCGAGAAAAGCCUCUAGAUAGAAAAUAGGUGCCCGUACCGCAAACCGACACAGGUAGUCAAGAUGAGAAUUCUAAGGUGAGCGAGCGAACUCUCGUUAAGGAACUCGGCAAAAUGACCCCGUAACUUCGGGAGAAGGGGUGCUCUUUAGGGUUAACGCCCAGAAGAGCCGCAGUGAAUAGGCCCAAGCGACUGUUUAUCAAAAACACAGGUCUCUGCUAAACCGUAAGGUGAUGUAUAGGGGCUGACGCCUGCCCGGUGCUGGAAGGUUAAGAGGAGUGGUUAGCUUCUGCGAAGCUACGAAUCGAAGCCCCAGUAAACGGCGGCCGUAACUAUAACGGUCCUAAGGUAGCGAAAUUCCUUGUCGGGUAAGUUCCGACCCGCACGAAAGGCGUAACGAUUUGGGCACUGUCUCAACGAGAGACUCGGUGAAAUCAUAGUACCUGUGAAGAUGCAGGUUACCCGCGACAGGACGGAAAGACCCCGUGGAGCUUUACUGUAGCCUGAUAUUGAAAUUCGGCACAGCUUGUACAGGAUAGGUAGGAGCCUUUGAAACGUGAGCGCUAGCUUACGUGGAGGCGCUGGUGGGAUACUACCCUAGCUGUGUUGGCUUUCUAACCCGCACCACUUAUCGUGGUGGGAGACAGUGUCAGGCGGGCAGUUUGACUGGGGCGGUCGCCUCCUAAAAGGUAACGGAGGCGCUCAAAGGUUCCCUCAGAAUGGUUGGAAAUCAUUCAUAGAGUGUAAAGGCAUAAGGGAGCUUGACUGCGAGACCUACAAGUCGAGCAGGGUCGAAAGACGGACUUAGUGAUCCGGUGGUUCCGCAUGGAAGGGCCAUCGCUCAACGGAUAAAAGCUACCCCGGGGAUAACAGGCUUAUCUCCCCCAAGAGUUCACAUCGACGGGGAGGUUUGGCACCUCGAUGUCGGCUCAUCGCAUCCUGGGGCUGUAGUCGGUCCCAAGGGUUGGGCUGUUCGCCCAUUAAAGCGGUACGCGAGCUGGGUUCAGAACGUCGUGAGACAGUUCGGUCCCUAUCCGUCGUGGGCGUAGGAAAUUUGAGAGGAGCUGUCCUUAGUACGAGAGGACCGGGAUGGACAUACCUCUGGUGUACCAGUUGUCGUGCCAACGGCAUAGCUGGGUAGCUAUGUGUGGACGGGAUAAGUGCUGAAAGCAUCUAAGCAUGAAGCCCCCCUCAAGAUGAGAUUUCCCAACUUCGGUUAUAAGAUCCCUCAAAGAUGAUGAGG
rnacentral:rRNA from 1 species